rnacentral:rRNA from 1 species
AACGAACGCUGGCGGCAUGCCUAACACAUGCAAGUCGAACGAGACCUUCGGGUCUAGUGGCGCACGGGUGCGUAACGCGUGGGAACCUGCCCUUAGGUUCGGAAUAACUCCCCGAAAGGGGUGCUAAUACCGGAUAAUGUCUUCGGACCAAAGAUUUAUCGCCUUUGGAUGGGCCCGCGUUGGACUAGCUAGUUGGUAGGGUAAAAGCCUACCAAGGCGACGAUCCAUAGCUGGUCUGAGAGGAUGAUCAGCCACACUGGGACUGAGACACGGCCCAGACUCCUACGGGAGGCAGCAGUGGGGAAUAUUGGACAAUGGGCGAAAGCCUGAUCCAGCAAUGCCGCGUGAGUGAUGAAGGCCUUAGGGUUGUAAAGCUCUUCUACCCGGGAUGAUAAUGACAGUACCGGGAGAAUAAGCUCCGGCUAACUCCGUG